rnacentral:lncRNA from 1 species
GAUUUCAAAACAAAGAAAAGCAAAAAGGCAACAAUAACAACUAGAAACAAAGAAUAGGUUGGUAUAUUUUAUUUUUUCUAGCCAAUUCUAGCACUCCGAUUAGCAAAGGUUAUUUAGCAACAAAAGCUCAGGAAUUCAAAACAAAGAAAAGCAAAAAGGCAACAAUAAACAACUAGAAAUAAAGAAUAGGUUGUUAUAUUUUAUUUUUUCUAUUAAGUGGAGGCAGCAACUCUUUAACAUAUUAGAAAUUGACCUGUAGCAGAAUAUUAACAUCAUAAAUAACCAUAAUAAAAACCACUGAGACUUGACAAAAAAAGGAUGCUUUAUAUAAUAAAUGAGGGCUUCGGAAUAACUACCAGCUCAAGAAGGAAAAGUGAUAAAAGUGUAAGAAAGAGAUGGGGAAGUAGAUAUUGCACUUCCCUAUGCCAUGAAAGAGGCAUUGACAUAAUGUCAAGCAAAUGUUUAAAACAGCAACCCAAUUAGUAGACAAUGUCAAUUAGGAAAAGUUCUUCUAAAUAUAUAUUUGAUAUAGUUGAAGAAUAUUCCCAGAGCAAAGCCCGUCAUAGCAUAAUUACUUGCCGAAUCAUGUAAGAAAGAUAUGCUCUUUCAUCCAAAGAAUAAACAGAAGAACAAAACCCCUUUUACAUGGUAAAGUGGGAUGGAGAUAAAAACAUGCAUGAAACAAGUAAUAAAACCUUGGUCUUCUUGACACUAAAAACAAAAAAAAUAUGUGUUUUAUCUUCUGUUUUACAGAACAUGUUUGGCAGUCACAUCUUCAUAACAAGGACAAGCACAACCUAGAGCUUCAAUCUUUAAUCUCCUUGUGCAUACACGAAUUAUGUUUCAACAAUCGUUAAGUACACAUUAGGAAUUUGUAAAUCAAGAGGACAAGCAAAUCCAGUUAUAAAAAUUGAAGUGAUUAAUAAAGAUCUAUGAUGGACAUUUUACAAUGCAGACACCUGCAAUUUUGAGCUUCUAAUGACAAUUAGAUAACAGAUCAUCGUAUACAUAAUGUCAUAAAACCAUACCAGUUCUAAAAAUGUAACCACACCUAAGUUUAGACAUCACAGAGCAUAUACAACCAUAGGGUUUACUGAAUAUGAAUAG